rnacentral:rRNA from 1 species
GAUGAACGCUAGCGGCAGGCUUAAUACAUGCAAGUCGAGGGGUAGCAAGAUUGUAGCAAUACAAUUGUUGACGACCGGCAAACGGGUGCGGAACACGUACACAACCUUCCUACAAGUGGGGAAUAGCCCAGAGAAAUUUGGAUUAAUACCCCGUAACAUAGCGAUGUGGCAUCACAUUGCUAUUAUAGCUUCGGCGCUUGUUGAUGGGUGUGCGGCUGAUUAGAUAGUUGGCGGGGUAACGGCCCACCAAGUCUACGAUCAGUAGCUGAUGUGAGAGCAUGAUCAGCCACACGGGCACUGAGGCACGGGCCCGACUCCUACGGGAGGCAGCAGUAAGGAAUAUUGGACAAUGGACGCAAGUCUGAUCCAGCCUUGCCGCGUGAAGGAUUAAGGUCCUCUGGAUUGUAAACUUCUUUUAUAAGGGACGAAAAAAGGUCUUUCUAGAUCGUCUGACGGUACCUUAUGAAUAAGCACCGGCUAACUCCGUGCCAGCAGCCGCCGUAAGAC